UGACUGGGCUAGGGCUGCUUACCGCGGUACCAAACCCUAUCAAACUUCGAAUACUAUAUACUUUACCACGGCAGUCAGGCGUAGGGUGAUAAAAUCCUAUGUCGAGAGGGGAACAACCCAGACUAACAGCUAAGGUCCCAAAGUUAACAUUAAGUGGAAAACGAUGUGGAGUUACUGUGACAACCAGGAAGUUGGCUUAGAAGCAGCCAUCUUUUAAAGAAAGCGUAACAGCUCACUGGUCUAGUGAUUUUGCGCCGAAAAUAUAACGGGGCUUAAAGUUUGCACCGAAGCUAUAGAUUCUGUCUUUAAUUAGAUGGAGUGGUAGGAGAGCGUUCACAUCAGCAUUGAAGCUGUACCGGUAAGGAGCAGUGGAGCGGUGUGAAGUGAGCAUGCAGGCAUGAGUAGCGAUAAAAAAAGUGAGAAUCUUUUUCGCCGAAAACCUAAGGUUUCCUACGCGAUGCUCGUCAUCGUAGGGUUAGUCGGGUCCUAAGACAAGUCCGAAAGGGGUAGUCGAUGGCAAAUAGGUUAAUAUUCCUAUACUUAUUAUAGAGCGUGAUGUGGGGACGCAUAGAGUUAGCCAAGCUCACUGAUGGAAUAGUGGGUCGAAGGAUGUAGGUUGUUAAGUAGGCAAAUCCGCUUAACAUGAAACCGAGAUCUUACAGGCGGUUCAAAACCUUCGGGUAGCGAACUGAAUUGGUGAUACUGUCGUGCCAAGAAAAGCCACUAAGCAUAUCUAUAAUAACCCGUACCGCAAACCGACACAGGUAGGUGGGAUGAGUAUUCUAAGGCGCGUGGAAGAACCCCCUUUAAGGAACUCUGCAAAUUAGCACCGUAACUUCGGAAGAAGGUGUGCCUACUUUGGUAUAUGAAUUUACUUCAAAAAGCUAAAGAGGUUGCAACAAAGAGUCCCUCCCGACUGUUUACCAAAAACACAGCACUAUGCUAACAAGUAAUUGGAUGUAUAUGGUGUGACGCCUGCCCGGUGCUCGAAGGUUAAUUGAUGGGGUUAGCAUUUAUGCGAAGCUCUUGAUCGAAGCCCGAGUAAACGGCGGCCGUAACUAUAACGGUCCUAAGGUAGCGAAAUUCCUUGUCGGUUAAAUACCGACCUGCAUGAAUGGCGUAACGAGAUGGGAGCUGUCUCAACCAGGGAUCCAGUGAAAUUGUAGUGGAGGUGAAAAUUCCUCCUACCCGCGGAAAGACGGAAAGACCCCGUGCACCUUUACUAUAGCUUGACACUGCUAUUGGGAUAUUCAUGUGCAGGAUAGGUGGGAGUCAUUGAUACUAGGACGCCAGUACUAGAGGAGACAUCCUUGAGAUACCACCCUUGAAUAUUCUGAUAGCUAACUCGGUACGGUUAUCCCGUGCGAGGACAAUGUCUGGUGGGUAGUUUGACUGGGGCGGUCGCCUCCUAAAAAGUAACGGAGGCUUACAAAGGUUGGCUCAAUCCGGUUGGAAAUCGGAUGUUGAGUAUAAUGGCAUAAGCCAGCCUGACUGUAAGACAGACAAGUCGAGCAGAGACGAAAGUCGGUCAUAGUGAUCCGGUGGUUCUGUGUGGAAGGGCCAUCGCUCAAAGGAUAAAAGGUACGCCGGGGAUAACAGGCUGAUCUCCCCCAAGAGCUCACAUCGACGGGGAGGUUUGGCACCUCGAUGUCGGCUCAUCGCAUCCUGGGGCUGAAGCAGGUCCCAAGGGUAUGGCUGUUCGCCAUUUAAAGCGGUACGCGAGCUGGGUUCAGAACGUCGUGAGACAGUUCGGUCCCUAUCUGCCGUGGGCGUAGGAAGAUUGAGGAGAGUUGACCCUAGUACGAGAGGACCGGGUUGAACGAACCACUGGUGUA
rnacentral:rRNA from 1 species